rnacentral:rRNA from 1 species
GACGAACGCUGGCGGCGUGCUUAACACAUGCAAGUCGAACGGAAAGGCCCUGCUUUUGUGGGGUGCUCGAGUGGCGAACGGGUGAGUAACACGUGAGUAACCUGCCCUUGACUUUGGGAUAACUUCAGGAAACUGGGGCUAAUACCGGAUAGGAGCUCCUGCUGCAUGGUGGGGGUUGGAAAGUUUCGGCGGUUGGGGAUGGACUCGCGGCUUAUCAGCUUGUUGGUGGGGUAGUGGCUUACCAAGGCUUUGACGGGUAGCCGGCCUGAGAGGGUGACCGGCCACAUUGGGACUGAGAUACGGCCCAGACUCCUACGGGAGGCAGCAGUGGGGAAUAUUGCACAAUGGGCGGAAGCCGGAUGCAGCAACGCCGCGUGCGGGAUGACGGCCUUCGGGUGGCAAACCGCUUUCGCCUGUGACGAAGCGUGAGUGACGGUAAUGGGUAAAGAAGCACCGGAUAACUACGU